AUGAAAUACUAUACAUGCUGUUAAAUGGAUAGCUAGGUUUUGGUAUUUGACGAAGGACGUGGCAAGCUGCGAUAAGUUCUGGGGAGCUGCAUGCAAGCUUUGAUCCAGAAAUCUCCGAAUUACACAGAGAUGUGGAACUACGCCGGGAAUUGAAACAUCUUAGUACCGGCAGGAAGAGAAAAUAAAUUAAUGAUGUCCUUAUUAGCAGAGAGCGAAAAGGACCAAGGGCGAACUGAAUCCCUCCGCUAAAGCGGAGAGGAGAUGUGGUGGGCAUAAAUUUCUAAGUUCUCGAAUCGAAAUUUGAUGGAAAGCAAGACCAUAGAAGGUGAUAGUCCUGUAGAUGAAGAGAAUAUGAAGUUGCCUAAAGAGUAGGGCGUCCUGAAUUGGACGUCUGAAUACGGCAGAAUUAACUGCCAACCCUAAACAUAACCAAAGUCCGAUAGUGCACUAGUACCGCGAGGGAAAGCUGAAAAGAACUCUUAACAGAGGAUGAAAAGAUUUGAAAUUUGACAGCGACAGUUUGUUACUGCUCUUAACCGCAAGGAAAGGGUUGUAACGUACGUUUCGAAGAACGGGCCAGGGAGUUUACUUAAACGGCGAGGCUAAUCGUCUAUGACGAGUAACCGGAGCGCAAGCAAGUCUGAAAGGGCGACGAGUCGUUUGGGUAUGACCUGAAGCCAGAUGAUCUAUUCAUGGGCAAGAUGAAGUCUCUCGAAAGAGGGAUGGAGGUCUGAACCAGUGCUGCGUACAUACGCUUGGAUGAUCUGUGAAUAGGGGUGAAAAGCCUCUCUAAUCUGGCAAUGGCUGGUUCCUGCUGAAAUAUGCCUACGUAUAGUCUUAUCUAAUUUGUCAACGGGGUAAAGUACGGAUAGCUUUUGCAGGGUCAAAUGACUACGGAAAUCUUUCCAACUCAGAAACUGUUGACUGUAUAUGAUAGGAAACAGGGUGUGUAUGUAAGAUACACCUCCGAGACCGGAACAACGGAGACCAAAGUUAAGGUCCCUAAAUUCAUGUUAAGUGUAUAAAAGGAUGUCUUGAACCUGAGACACUAGGGAUGUAAGCUUAGAAGCAGCUAUCAUUUAAAGAAAGCGUAACAGCUCACCUAUUGAGGUCUAGGGCUCCAAAGAUGGACGGGGCUAAACAUGAUACCGAUACUUUGGCGGCGCUCUUUUGAGCGUUCGGGUAAGCAGGCGUGCUUUCUGCGCAGAAGGUCAUCUUAGAGGAUGGCUGGAGCGGGAAGCAAUGAAAAUCCUGGCAAUAGUAGGAUGAAAUUUUCCUGAGAAUGGAAAACGUCGAAAGAGCAAGGUUUCCUUGGCAAUAUUCAUUAGCCAAGGGUUAGUCAGUACCUUAGAUGCACCUUAACUGAGUGCAUUGAUGGACAGCAGGUUAAUAUUCCUGUACUGAUUGGGUCUUACAUAAUAUGAUCGCUUCCGGAUAAGAAAGUAUUCGAAAGAAUAUUCUGACGAAAAAAAUCAUCGAGCGUAAUGCACAGACAUGAAAGAAUUCGUUGGACCAAAUUCCUGAUUCCAGGAGCCAGUGAAAAAAUUAUAUUCUUGAUUCAAUCAACUGUACCGAUAUCCGACACUGGUGCUCUAGCUGAGAAGGCUAAGACGUGUAAGGCUAAAUCAACUAAGGGAACUCGGCAUAUUAGUCCUGUAGCUUAGGCUGAAGGGAUGUCUAUAUUCGUGCAUUCCAGAAAUGUUUUGUGCGUUUGUAGAUCGCAGUAACAAGGAUGGCCCGACUGUUUACCAAAAACGUAGCUGAGUGCUAAUCUGAAAAGACUUGUAUACUCAGUGAGACCUGCCCAGUGGUGGUGUUUCAAACUCUUUUUCAAGGGAGCUAAGACCCAUCAAACGGCGGAGGUAACUAUGACCNNNNNNNNUUGCAAAAAGAAAAACGCUUCAAAGGUUAUAGAAAGUAAAUGGUUGAAUGAAAAUAAAAGUUACAGAAUUAAAGUUAAAUCAAAAACAUCGUCCAAGCGUGGUCGAUGUAAAGAAGAAAAUCUAACUAUAUGCUGGAACAUCCGAGAAUAUUUUGGUACUUUCAGUAAAAUGAAAGUGAAAAUCUAAAAUUGCGGACAAUCAGCAGGAAAGACUAGAAUUAGAAAAGUUAUUAAAUAAAAACUCUUUAGUUAAGAUAUGAACUUUAAACCAAAUGCUUGGAAAGUUAUUUCAUCCAUAUUAAUUGGAUGGUUAAUUAUU
rfam:Candidatus Pacearchaeota archaeon RBG_16_35_8 RBG_16_scaffold_9836, whole genome shotgun sequence.